rnacentral:rRNA from 1 species
GCCUAACACAUGCAAGUCGAACGGGACUUAGUGGAAAGCGGCUUCGGCCAAUGGAAGCUAAGUUUAGUGGCGAACGGGUGAGUAACGCGUGAGGAACCUGCCUUCCAGUGGGGGACAACAGUUGGAAACGACUGCUAAUACCGCAUAACAUAUUCGGACCGCAUGAUCUGAAUGUCAAAGCUUUAUGUGCUGGAAGAUGGCCUCGCGUCUGAAUAGCUAGUUGGUGGGGUAACGGCCUACCAAGGCGACGAUCAGUAGCCGGUCUGAGAGGAUGAACGGCCACAUUGGGACUGAGAUACGGCCCAGACUCCUACGGGAGGCAGCAGUGGGGAAUAUUGGGCAAUGGGGGAAACCCUGACCCAGCAACGCCGCGUGAAGGAAGAAGGCCUUCGGGUUGUAAACUUCUUUUACCAGGGACGAAGAACGUGACGGUACCUGGAGAAAAAGCAACGGCUAACUACGUGCCAGCCGCCGCGGUAAUAC